rnacentral:rRNA from 1 species
UGGGGAAUAUUGGACAAUGGGCGCAAGCCUGAUCCAGCCAUGCCGCGUGAGUGACGAGGGCCUUAGGGUUGUAAAGCUCUUUUGGCGGGGAAGAUAAUGACGGUACCCGCAGAAUAAGCUCCGGCUAACUUCGUGCCAGCAGCCGCGGUAAUACGAAGGGAGCUAGCGUUGUUCGGAAUCACUGGGCGUAAAGCGCACGUAGGUGGAUAGUUAAGUGAGGGGUGAAAGCCCGAGGCUCAACCUCGGAAUUGCCUCUCAUACUGGCUGUCUCGAGUCCGAGAGAGGUGGGUGGAAUUCCUAGUGUAGAGGUGAAAUUCGUAGAUAUUAGGAAGAACACCGGUGGCGAAGGCGGCCCACUGGCUCGGUACUGACACUGAGGUGCGAAAGCUAGGGGAGCAAACGGGAUUAGAUACCCUCGUAGUCCCUGAGCGGGCUGGCAAGGCGCAU